rnacentral:rRNA from 1 species
GAUGAACGCUGGCGGCGUGCUUAACACAUGCAAGUCGAACGAAGCACUUUAGUUUGAUUUCUUUCGGAUUGAUUCUAAAGUAGACUUAGUGGCGGACGGGUGGAGUAACGCGUGGGUAACCUGCCUCGUACAGGGGGAGUAACAGUUAGAAAUGACUGCUAAUACCGCAUAACCCGCUAAGGUCGCAUGACCUGGACGGAAAAGAUUUAUCGGUACGAGAUGGACCCGCGUCUGAUUAGCUAGUUGGUGAGGUAACGGCCCACCAAGGCGACGAUCAGUAGCCGGCCUGAGAGGGUGGACCGGCCACAUUGGGACUGAGACACGGCCCAA